rnacentral:tRNA from 1 species
GCGGGCGUGAUGGAAGUGGUAGACAAUCGGAACUUAAAAUUCUGAGCCAAUGGCGUGCGGGUUCGAGUCCCGCCGCCCGCACCA